rnacentral:rRNA from 1 species
AACGAACGCUGGCGGCAUGCCUAACACAUGCAAGUCGAACGAGACCUUCGGGUCUAGUGGCGCACGGGUGCGUAACGCGUGGGAACCUGCCCUUAGGUUCGGAAUAACUCCCCGAAAGGGGUGCUAAUACCGGAUAAUGUCUUCGGACCAAAGAUUUAUCGCCUUUGGAUGGGCCCGCGUUGGAUUAGCUAGUUGGUAGGGUAAAAGCCUACCAAGGCGACGAUCCAUAGCUGGUCUGAGAGGAUGAUCAGCCACACUGGGACUGAGACACGGCCCAGACUCCUACGGGAGGCAGCAGUGGGGAAUAUUGGACAAUGGGCGAAAGCCUGAUCCAGCAAUGCCGCGUGAGUGAUGAAGGCCUUAGGGUUGUAAAGCUCAUUUACCCGGGAUGAUAAUGACAGUACCGGGAGAAUAAGCGCCGGCUAACUCCGUG